GCAAGUCGAACGGUAACAGGAAGCAGCUUGCUGCUUUGCUGACGAGUGGCGGACGGGUGAGUAAUGUCUGGGAAACUGCCUGAUGGAGGGGGAUAACUACUGGAAACGGUAGCUAAUACCGCAUAACGUCGCAAGACCAAAGAGGGGGACCUUCGGGCCUCUUGCCAUCGGAUGUGCCCAGAUGGGAUUAGCUAGUAGGUGGGGUAACGGCUCACCUAGGCGACGAUCCCUAGCUGGUCUGAGAGGAUGACCAGCCACACUGGAACUGAGACACGGUCCAGACUCCUACGGGAGGCAGCAGUGGGAAAUAUUGCACAAUGGGCGCAAGCCUGAUGCAGCCAUGCCGCGUGUAUGAAGAAGGCCUUCGGGUUGUAAAGUACUUUCAGCGGGGAGGAAGGCGAUAAGGUUAAUAACCUUGUCGAUUGACGUUACCCGCAGAAGAAGCACCGGCUAACUCCGUGCCAGCAGCCGCGGUAAUACGGAGGGUGCAAGCGUUAAUCGGAAUUACUGGGCGUAAAGCGCACGCAGGCGGUCUGUCAAGUCGGAUGUGAAAUCCCCGGGCUCAACCUGGGAACUGCAUUCGAAACUGGCAGGCUAGAGUCUUGUAGAGGGGGGUAGAAUUCCAGGUGUAGCGGUGAAAUGCGUAGAGAUCUGGAGGAAUACCGGUGGCGA
rnacentral:rRNA from 1 species